CAGCUGCCGCGGUAAUACUUAGGGUGCAAGCGUUAUCCGGAAUUAUUGGGCGUAAAGAGCUCGUAGGCGGUUUGUCGCGUCUGCUGUGAAAACUGGAGGCUCAACCUCCAGCCUGCAGUGGGUACGGGCAGACUAGAGUGCGGUAGGGGAGAUUGGAAUUCCUGGUGUAGCGGUGGAAUGCGCAGAUAUCAGGAGGAACACCGAUGGCGAAGGCAGAUCUCUGGGCCGUAACUGACGCUGAGGAGCGAAAGCGUGGGGAGCGAACAGGAUUAGAUACCCUGGUAGUCCACGCCGUAAACGUUGGGAACUAGAUGUGGGGGCCAUUCCACGGCUUCCGUGUCGCAGCUAACGCAUUAAGUUCCCCGCCUGGGGAGUACGGCCGCAAGGCUAAAACUCAAAGGAAUUGACGGGGGCCCGCACAAGCGGCGGAGCAUGCGGAUUAAUUCGAUGCAACGCGAAGAACCUUACCAAGGCUUGACAUAUACGAGAACGCUGCAGAAAUGUAGAACUCUUUGGACACUCGUAUACAGGUGGUGCAUGGUUGUCGUCAGCUCGUGUCGUGAGAUGUUGGGUUAAGUCCCGCAACGAGCGCAACCCUCGUUCUAUGUUGCCAGCACGUAAUGGUGGGAACUCAUAGGAGACUGCCGGGGUCAACUCGGAGGAAGGUGGGGAUGACGUCAAAUCAUCAUGCCCCUUAUGUCUUGGGCUUCACGCAUGCUACAAUGGCCGGUACAAAGGGCUGCAAUACCGUAAGGUGGAGCGAAUCCCAGAAAGCCGGUCUCAGUUCGGAUUGAGGUCUGCAACUCGACCUCAUGAAGUCGGAGUCGCUAGUAAUCGUGGAUCAGCAACGCCACGGUGAAUACGUUCCCGGGCCUUGUACACACCGCCCGU
rnacentral:rRNA from 1 species